UCCGGUUUGUCACCGGCAGUCUCCUUAGAGUUCCCACCAUUACGUGCUGGCAACUAAGGACAAGGGUUGCGCUCGUUGCGGGACUUAACCCAACAUCUCACGACACGAGCUGACGACAGCCAUGCAGCACCUGUGUUCCGAUUCUCUUUCGAGCACCCCCAAAUCUCUUCGGGGUCUUAGACAUGUCAAGGGUAGGUAAGGUUUUUCGCGUUGCAUCGAAUUAAUCCACAUCAUCCACCGCUUGUGCGGGUCCCCGUCAAUUCCUUUGAGUUUUAAUCUUGCGACCGUACUCCCCAGGCGGUCAACUUCACGCGUUAGCUGCGCUACCAAAGUCCGAAGACCCCGACAGCUAGUUGACAUCGUUUAGGGCGUGGACUAC
rnacentral:misc_RNA from 1 species